rnacentral:sRNA from 1 species
AGCUGUUCCCCUCUGGAGGUUUUGAGAAGCCUUCUAACUUUAAAGGGCCCCGAUUUUUCGGUGGCCCUCUUUUUUUAUCCCG